UAGGGAAUCUUGCGCAAUGAGCGAAAGCUUGACGCAGCGACGCCGCGUGCGGGAUGACGGCCCUCGGGUUGUAAACCGCUUUCAGCAGGGACGCGGUACCUGCAGAAGAAGCCCCGGCUAACUACGUGCCAGCAGCCGCGGUAAUACGUAGGGGGCAAGCGUUGUCCGGAUUUAUUGGGCGUAAAGAGCUCGUAGGCGGUUCGAAAGUCGAAUGUGAAAUCUCCACGCUCAACGUGGAGGGGUCAUUCGAAACUGCGUGACUUGAGUACGGUAGGGGAGUGUGGAAUUCCCGGUGUAGCGGUGAAAUGCGCAGAGAUCGGGAGGAACACCCGUAGCGAAGGCGGCACUCUGGGCCGAUACUGACGCUGAGGAGCGAAAGCUGGGGAGCAAACAGGAUUAGAUACCCCUGUAGU
rnacentral:rRNA from 1 species